rnacentral:rRNA from 1 species
UACGUAGGGUGCAAGCGUUAAUCGGAAUUACUGGGCGUAAAGCGUGCGCAGGCGGUUUUGUAAGUCUGUCGUGAAAUCCCCGGGCUCAACCUGGGAAUUGCGAUGGAGACUGCAAGGCUAGAAUCUGGCAGAGGGGGGUAGAAUUCCACGUGUAGCAGUGAAAUGCGUAGAGAUGUGGAGGAACACCGAUGGCGAAGGCAGCCCCCUGGGAUCGAAGAUUGACGCUCAUGCACCGAA